rnacentral:miRNA from 1 species
AUACAAUCUACUGUCUUUCUU